rfam:Felis catus isolate Cinnamon breed Abyssinian chromosome B2, whole genome shotgun sequence.
CCAAAGGCUCUUUUCAGAGCCACCCAAUUAGCUCAACAAAAGUGGCU